rnacentral:rRNA from 1 species
GAUGAACGCUGGCGGCAGGCCUAACACAUGCAAGUCGAACGGAUCCUUCGGGAUUAGUGGCGGACGGGUGAGUAACACGUGGGAACGUGCCUUUUGGUUCGGAAUAACUCAGGGAAACCUGAGCUAAUACCGAAUGUGCCCUUCGGGGGAAAGAUUUAUCGCCAUUAGAGCGGCCCGCGUCUGAUUAGCUAGUUGGUAGGGUAAAGGCCUACCAAGGCUACGAUCAGUAGCUGGUCUGAGAGGAUGAUCAGCCACACUGGGACUGAGACACGGCCCAGACUCCUACGGGAGGCAGCAGUGGGGAAUCUUGCGCAAUGGGCGAAAGCCUGACGCAGCCAUGCCGCGUGAAUGAUGAAGGUCUUAGGAUUGUAAAAUUCUUUCACCGGGGACGAUAAUGACGGUACCCGGAGAAGAAGCCCCGGCUAACUUCGUGCCAGCCGCCGCUGUAACAC